rnacentral:rRNA from 1 species
UACGGAGGGUGCAAACGUUGCUCGGAAUCAUUGGGCGUAAAGCGCGUGUAGGCGGCCCGGUAAGUCCGCUGUGAAAGUCGGGGGCUCAACCCUCGAAUGCCGGUGGAUACUGUCGGGCUAGAGUGCGGGAGAGGCGAGUGGAAUUCCUGGUGUAGCGGUGAAAUGCGCAGAUAUCAGGAGGAACACCAAUUGCGAAGGCAGCUCGCUGGAACGUAACUGACGCUGAGACGCGAAAGCGUGGGGAGCAAACAGG